CUUUGGCUCUAAUUCAUGAUAUUUGGUAACUUGCUGCUGUUGUAGUUAUAUUGAUAACUUGGUGAUUUCAGAUACCAACAAAAAUUUAUUUGCCUACAUAGUAUUACGGUUGCAGAAGUCCUUGUGGAUAUCCUAUACAGUAUAAAUAUGAACCACCACUUGGUGGAUCGCUGCUGUUUAGAGCUCUGCUCUGUUAAUGCUACUUUGAGUCUAGAUGGCAUUAACUACAGAGAAGGGAUCUAGCUAGGUUUGCAAUGGCAUGUGUACUAACGAAUCAUUUUAGUCUCAGGUUUUCCCUGCAAAACUGAAGUUCAUGUCUCAUGUUUGGAUUAAUCACGGUGUAGUCUGAUGGUAAUUUGUCUACUUAGUGUAGUUUACGUAUUCUUCCACAACUUCAUUUCAUGCUUUCAGAGUUAAAGUUUUGGGGAUAGUUUGGAUGUUAUACCCAAGGCAUUAUAAUUGCUCUAUAUUAUUCUUAAUUUCAUAUAUCAUCACCUUAGACUACUCGAACUGUCGGCCAUGCUUUGUGAUCAUGUGCGACGAGCAUAUUGUUCGGUGCUGCUAUUUUCCAUUCGCUGCUGGGUUGCUUCUACUCUCCACCAAUCUGUCAAGUAGCAAAGAGUAGGUUUGACCUCAAUUUCGAUGCAGACAUGGAUUGGGAUGUGAUGCAUGUACUUGCUAAUUAAGGGAUUUGGAUCUUGCCCUCAAUUAGAGUUCCCAAUCUCAACGAAGUGGGGUUUAUGAAUUUUAUUAUUUUUUAGCUUGAAUGGACUGUAGCUUUGCUUAAUUGACUGACAGUUGUAUUUGACUGAAUAACUGGAUUAAUUGAUUUCAUGGCAGAUGCCGGUUUUGACCUUGGUUGAUCAUGCUUUGUUCCGUGUUUGGCCUGCAACAUAUUUUCUAUGCAUUCGCAGAAAUGGUAACUGAAUAAUUACUUCAUACUGCAGAACAUCUUGCUUAAUACCUGAGUCCCCGGCCCUUGUUGCUACAGGUUUAUCUGCCCAAUAACAUGAAUUGAUUUUUUCACCCAAAAAGGUUGAAAUCAACUGUUUUGCAUACACAAUUAAAUAGUGAGCAUCGCGUUUUAUUAGCAAAAUUUAAUAGUUCAUACACAAUUAGGAAGUUGCAUGAAGAUUACAUUAUUUUUCCUGAACAUGUUCUAUUGUAAAGAUAAGGUCAGAGGCAUACCAACACAAUGCUCUGUUUAGUGAAGCUACAAAACCCACCAUCAUAACUGACAAUUCCAUGUUUUAUUGCCUGGUGAAUAUUUAUUCUAUUUCAAUGCUGACAAAUUGGCCCUUUGUUGAUCGAUAUGGUUCCCUUUGAAUGACAUGAAGGAGGAAUAAGGGUUGCUUCUCACUCCAUUUUGGUCUGUGCUGGCGUGGACGGAGGGUGACCCAGGCCUGUCCGACCAAAGGUGGCCGGUGAGCCUCUUGGUCUGUGCAGCGAACGGACAUCAAAUAUAUUACAUUAGAUGAUGGGGGAAACUGUACUUGCAGUGCUUCAGUUCUGCAACAAUGGACUCCCUGAAGUGCCAACACCUUUACAUGGAUAUUCAGGAUAUUUUUUAAGGGACAUUACCUUCCUGAAACGAGAGGUCUAUGUCUUCUGAAGAGCAAAUUGUCAGACAAUCUUAAGAAGGCCAACAAUUGGACCAGGAAACAAAAUCAUAGAUAUGGUAAAGACAUAUGAGAAGCAAAGGGGAUAAAAUGAAUCCACAUACUGGGUAUUAUUUGAACUGAUAUGGAGGGACUACUUCGGAUUUCUUUUCAGCAAAAUAUGGGAACUUCAUUUUCUUGCAAGGUGAUUUCUGCAUAGCUUUUGUGUAUGACGGCUGGAGGACCAACUCAGACCUCGCUUGCCUCAGGGUCAGGAGGUCCAAGGGGCCACAAGACCGGGCCAGGAGUUUGUGUAAACCUGGGCCAGGAGUUUAUUUGAUAAAGGUUUCUAGAAUGAUUGGCCACACCUACCUAAAAAGUUCGGAAUUUAACCAUGAGCCCCUUCUGGCCUGGUUCCAUAUUCCAAGGCCCUUCCAUAAUCCAAUUCUUUGUCCCGAACCAUCCAUUGAAGAACAUAGACUGUGCAGAAUAUCAGUUUGUUAUAUUUGCAUCAAAUGAACUAUGUGAGCACUUGAACAAUCAGGAAGUUGUGGAUAUAGUUAAUUGUUCACCUCGGAAUGUAAGAUGAUUUGCCAUACUUCCUCAUAUAUUACUCUUUCCCAGUGUACUAAAAUAUGCUUCCCAUUUUAGUCUUGCCUUAUAUUGUUGAUAUGUAACCCAAAUAGGUUAAACCGAAUGUUGUAUCGAAACAUGUAGUAUUUACUUGUAAAAGAGCAACUGAGAGCCUGGUGGGUCGGGAUGAAGGAAGAAUACCCCUGAGAGCCCAAACUGAGUUCGAAAAUAUAUGCAGAAUAUAUAUUUGCCUCUGCUAUAUACAUAUGUAAUUUUCCAGUCUGUGUUUUCUGCUCCUCUUUGGCGCAAUGUGGAAGAUGUUGGUUUUAAAGGCUAGCAGGGCAGCCAGUGGUGGAGUAAUCAGUCGUUUAUGAGGUCAUGGAGCCCAAGACCGGAUGCAGCAGAAGAAGCAGCGUCGUUGCCGUGCACUAAGAAGGUCAACAGAGUCUGUGAGGCGGAAGAUCCAUAGCAUACAGCGGAUGCGUUGGAUAUGCCAUUCCUCAAUGUGUACCUGGAUUCUCUUUGGGCACCUAAUUUUUGGGCAGGUGUUAUGCUAGCAGCCCGCUUCGCUUUGGUCUUCAGAUUAAGCAAUUCUCUGCAUUCAAGGGAAAUGUCAAUAGCUGCUCUCCAAAGCCAACGUCGGUCUGUAUUCAUCUGCUGCGUCAGGUUGGCCACGACGAGGAGACGGACGCGACCGCGUCGUCCCAUCGACCUCCGGGGCCUUUGAUAUCUCAGGGUGUGUGUCAUGUUAUGUUGGGUUUCCUGUGAUUUCGGUGCGGGUAGCUACAUAGCGUCCGUGGGCCAUGCGUGUGACAUGCAUGCUAGGUAAUCUUGACUCCGGUGCAACGGUGCUGGAACCGCCUCCGCUGGUUACGACCGCCGUGGCUAUGCUUGAAGGCAGAAUCACCACGAUGACUGUAGUGGCCGCACUCAGAUCAGAACGGCAGCCACGGUAUAUGAUCAAGCCUUUACUGUCGUCCUUUGAAUUUGGGAUCACGUGCAUCUGCAAGAGAAAGAGCAUGAGAGCCUAAGAGGGUAGUACCACAUUACGAACAAGUUGUUUUUUAUCCAUGGAAUUGAUCUGAUGCGAAGCUGAUGCCACAUAAAAGGACCAAGGAAUGAACACGAAGCAAAUUAUAACUCUCAGGUUCAUGGUUUAGGAGCAGGAAAGAACACUUCCAAUUGUGUAGAUGGGUCAUCCGUAGCAUUUCUCUAAUUAUCCUUAUAGAGACUGAUUUGGAUUGUUGAAGGAAAGGAUCUAAAUUCUCAAUAGCAAACUGCACUGGGACAUCUUGGACCUAUUCUCCACAUUUCUGAGCUAGAUAUGUUGGUGAGCGGGCAGGCGGCGCUAGACAUGGCAGGGCAAGAGAGCACGAGGGAGAAUGUCAAAGGGCGCAACAUAAAUGAGAGUUCACCGUUAUGCUCAUGUGAUCAGAACCUAGAGCAUGGAUACAAGACCUCCAUCAUCGUCUAUGGACAUCAGAGCAGAGGAGAAGUGAUGAUGGACAUCAGACCAGUGAAGACAGUGAGCAUGGGCUCCUAGACGAUACUUAUCAUAUCAUAUUCUCAGUAUAUAGUCAAAAACUGUAUGCCACAUGUACGUUGUGAAUUACUAUGUUAUUUGAUCA